UUCGCCCUUAGAGUUUGAUCCUGGCUCAGAACGAACGCUGGCGGCAGGCCUAACACAUGCAAGUCGAGCGAGCAUUUCGGUGCUAGCGGCGGACGGGUGAGUAACGCGUGGGAACGUGCCCUUUUCUGCGGAAUAGUCCUGGGAAACUGGGGGUAAUACCGCAUACGCCCUUUUGGGGAAAGAUUUAUCGGAGAAGGAUAGGCCCGCGUUGGAUUAGGUAGUUGGUGGGGUAAUGGCCCACCAAGCCGACGAUCCAUAGCUGGUUUGAGAGGAUGAUCAGCCACACUG
rnacentral:rRNA from 1 species